UCUGAGAUCUGCCAUCUCUAAACUCAGUCUGAAUCCUGUACCUGUUCUAAACUGGAAUAUCUGUGUACUUACACACAUAGGAUGAGUUUCUGUAUCCUCUCUUGCCACCUAACACAGUGAAUCCUGGCUAGUCUGAGGACACUGAAUCACUCUUCGUUCUGCUCACCAUUUGCAUUUUGAUUCCAGGCUGCCAUUCCAAGACAGAUGAUGAACUUUGCCUGUGAUGAAUUGCAGAGGCUUUGGAUAAAGGGCGAAUGUUGAUCUUCAUGGAUAGGAUUUCUUCUCUAUGGGAGAAGUCCAGGGAUGUGUAGGAGGCAGAGGAUCUACCUUGUGACAGUGAUACUUUGAAUUUGCUGGCCCAAAGUAGAAGAGGAAGUGGAGGGGCUUGGUUUCCAAGGAAAGAAGCUGGAGAACAGUGCAAAAAGAAGGGAGCUGUGAAUGAAAUAGAGGGCAAGUGGAAGACAGACCAUUAUUCUCAUUGUUGCAUCCACUUCUGCCUUGAGGCAGUGAAGAGGGCUCCUGUUUGUGCUGCAUCUCUGC